rnacentral:rRNA from 1 species
UACGUAGGGUGCGAGCGUUGCCCGGAUUUAUUGGGCGUAAAGGGCGCGUAGGCGGCUCUGCACGUCCGUUGUGAAAUCGCCCGGCUCAACUGGGCGGGGUCAGCGGAUACGGCGGAGCUUGAGCAAGCUAGGGGGCAAUGGAAUUCCCGGUGUAGUGGUGGAAUGCGUAGAUAUCGGGGAGGAACACCAGUGGCGAAGGCGGUUGCCUGGGGCUUUGCUGACGCUGAUGCGCGAAAGCGUGGGGAGCGAUCCGG